rnacentral:rRNA from 1 species
GAUGAACGCUAGCGAUAGGCUUAACACAUGCAAGUCGAGGGGCAGCAUGGUCUUAGCUUGCUAAGACUGAUGGCGACCGGCGCACGGGUGCGUAACGCGUAUGCAACUUGCCUCACAGAGGGGGAUAACCCGUCGAAAGACGGACUAAUACCGCGUACACUCUAUUUUGGGCAUCCAAGGUAGAGGAAAUGAAAUUCGCUGUGAGAUAGGCAUGCGUCCCAUUAGCUAGUUGGUGAGGUAACGGCUCACCAAGGCGACGAUGGGUAGGGGAACUGAGAGGUUGAACCCCCACACUGGUACUGAGACACGGACCAGACUCCUACGGGAGGCAGCAGUGAGGAAUAUUGAUCAAUGGGCGAGAGCCUGAACCAGCCAAGUCGCGUGAAGGAUGACUGUCUUAUGGAUUGUAAACUUCUUUUGUAGGGGAAUAAAGAGGGGCACGUGUGCCCCAGUGAAUGUACCCUACGAAUAAGCAUCGGCCAACUCCGUG